ACAUCCAGAGAAUUUAGCAGAGAUGCUUUAGUGCCUUCGGGAACUCUGAGACAGGUGCUGCAUGGCUGUCGUCAGCUCGUGUUGUGAAAUGUUGGGUUAAGUCCCGCAACGAGCGCAACCCUUAUCCUUUGUUGCCAGCACGUAAUGGUGGGAACUCAAAGGAGACUGCCGGUGAUAAACCGGAGGAAGGUGGGGAUGACGUCAAGUCAUCAUGGCCCUUACGAGUAGGGCUACACACGUGCUACAAUGGCGCAUACAAAGAGAAGCGACCUCGCGAGAGCAAGCGGACCUCAUAAAGUGCGUCGUAGUCCGGAUUGGAGUCUGCAACUCGACUCCAUGAAGUCGGAAUCGCUAGUAAUCGUAAAUCAGAAUGUUACGGUGAAUACGUUCCCGGGCCGUGUACACACCGCCCGUCACACCAUGGGAGUGGGUUGCAAAAGAAGUAGAUAGCUUAACCUUCGGGAGGGCGUUUACCACUUUGUGAUUCAUGACUGGGGUGAAGUCGUAACAAGGUAAGCGUAGUGCU
rnacentral:rRNA from 1 species